AGUAGAUCCGAUAAAUUGCCUAGGAGGAGUUCGUUGAAAUACAACGCGAAAAAUCACAGAAAAUGACCAAAAGAAUCUAAAUGGCUGACUUUGAUGCCACGCCACGGACACGCCCUUCAACGUACAUGCACAAAUAGCACAACUUUUAAUCAGGACCAUUUUUUGAGUGUACUCACAAAUUUUGAAGCAUAUCCGAUCAAUUCCCUAGGAGGAGUUCGUUCAAAUACAACGCGAAAAGUUCACCGAAAGUGAAACUUUAAAUCAAAAUGGCCGACUUUCUGUGGGGUUUCGGGUAUGGGUCCAAGAGGCUUUUUUGUACGUCCCGAGAUUCUAAACGGGCCUACCGAGUUUCGUACAUAUCGGUGAAACGUGGCGCCGGGGCUGCUGUUUAUUUAUCCUGUAGGGGGCGCUACACACAGGACAAACACGAUUUUUGGUAUGUGAGCUUCAGGCACUACUCUACACGUGCCCUGUGAAUUUCAUAUUCAUAACUAUUACGGUAUCCGUACAGUGAUUUUUCAUGCCAAAAGAGCGCCACCUAGUGGCGUAUUUUUUUUGUCCUUUUUAAGGGAGCCUCAGGGAGCCAUGGGGAAGCAUCGUACCAAGUUUCAUCUUAAUCACACAUACCGUUGUAGAGAUAUAAACGUCUUCAUUUUAAAGAGCGCCACCUAGUGCUGAUGGCCUGAAAUUGUGCACGAUGCUUAAGGAAGACACCUGGAACUAUGCACCCAAGUUUGGUGUCAAUCGGACAUACCAAUGUGGAGAAAUGGUCCACUUCCUUUUUUGAUGAAAAUUCCACAGGAAGUGCUAAUUUUAUAGCGUGCUUAUUGUUUGAAAUUUCGAAAAUGUUCAAAUUGCUUUUUUUGCCAGGGCGGUCCCCAGGUGCUAGGUGAAAAAUUUCGUGCGAAUCGGACAAAGCGUGUAGGAGAAACACGAAAAAGUAGUUUAACGACAUUUCGCACUCUAACGAAAAAAAAUUAUAGGCGGAAGUGGGCGGGGCCUAUAUGGAGAGAUUCAGCUCCAUUCACCGAACGCGUGGAUAUAAGUUUUUUGAAUGUGCGAGCAAAUAUGCAAAAGUUAUUAAGUAACAAAAAAGUGAAAAUUCGUUUCUCAAUAGUAGCGCCACCUAGUGGCAGACCCGAAAGUGACACAUGUAAACUCCGCAUUUUCACCAGGCCUGACAACUUUGCCAAAUAAAAUUGACUUUUCGUAUAUGUUCAGGGGGGUAAAAAUGCAGUCAAAGGGUCCUAAAAAUAAUAAUAAUAAUAAUAAUAAGAAACGAACCAAAAACAAUAGGGACCUCCAGCGGUCGCUUGCGAGGUCCCUAAUUAAAGCUGCAAGCAGCGUUGAGCGGGACCUCGCACCCCACCCAACUCGGGGCGUGCUGCGGCCGCGUCGCGUGCCGUCGUAACACUUGGGGACCACAACAUGAAAAUGUCACGUAAAUCAGCUCAAAAUCGCCACGCAGCGCUUACCACCUGUUGCCGGAAGGUGGCGCUAUCACUAUGUCUUAAUAUUGUCAUGUAGACAAGUUCAGGGCGGGACUGUUGUAACACACGUGAAGUUUCAUUGAGAUUGGACCACGUACGCUGAAGUUAUGAGGACGUGUUCAGGGCGAGACUGUUACAGAAUAUAUGAAGUUCACUGGAGAUUGGACAUUGCACACUGAAGUUAUGAGUGGCAUUUCAUGGCGAAUCCACUGAAUUUGACAAGUCGUCACUGGCACCGUCAUUUCACGUAACGCAGCACAAAAUCGCCAUGCAGCGCUUACCACCUGUUGCCAGAAGGUGGCGCUAUCACUAUGUCUUAAUAUUGUCAUGUAGACAAGUUCAGGGCGGGACUGUUGUAACACACGUGAAGUGUCAUUGAGAUUGGACCACUUACGCUGAAGUUACGAGGACGUGUUCAGGGCGAGACUGUUACAGAAUAUAUGAAGUUCACUGGAGAUUGGACAUUGCACACUGAAGUUAUGAGUGGCAUUUCAUGGCGAAUCCACUGAAUUUGACAAGUCGUUACUGGCAACGUCAUUUCACGUAACGCAGCUCAAAAUCGCCACGCAACGCUUACUUCCUGUUGCCAGUAGGUGGCGCUAUCACUAUGUCUGAAUAUUGUCAUGUAGACAUGUUCAGGGUGGGACUUAUCAAACACGUGAAGUUUCAUUGAAAUUGGAUCAUGUACACUGAAGUUGAGUACUAUCUGUUUAUGGUGACUGGUCGAAAUUCAAUGCAAUGCCACGGGCACGCCGUUUGACGGAAUGUCGUAAAUAGCACAACUUUAAAUCAUGAAUGUCUUUAGAUUGCGCUGAUAAAAUUUGAAGUAGAUCCGAUAAAUUCCCUAGGAGGAGUUCGUUCAAAUACAAGGCGAAAAAUCACAGAAAAUGAGCACAGAAUUUAAAAUGGCUGAGUUUGAUGCCAAGCCACGGACACGCCGUUUGAUGGAAUGUCGUAAAUAGCACAACUUUUAAUCAUGAAUGUCUUUAGAUUGCGCUGAUUAAAUCUGAAGUAGAUCCGAUAAAUUCCCUAGGAGGAGUUCGUUCAAAUACAAAGCGAAAAAUCACAGAAAAUGAGCACAGAAUGCAAAAUGGCUGACUUUGAUGGCAAGCCACGGACACGCCGUUUGACGGAAUGUCGUAAAUAGCACAACUUUUAAUCAUGAAUGUCUUUAGAUUGCGCUGAUUAAAUUUGAAGUUGAUCCGAUAAAUUCCCUAGGAGGAGUUCGUUCAAAUACAAGGCGAAAAAUUCACCGAAAAUGCGCACGGAAUUCACUAUGGCCAACUUUGAGGGCACGCCACGGACACGCCCUUCAACGUACAUGCACAAAUAGCACAACUUUUAAUCAGGACCAUUUUUUGAGUGUACUCACAAAUUUUGAAGCAUAUCCGAUAAAUUCCCUAGGAGGAGUUCGUUCAAAUACAACGCGAAAAGUUCGCCGAAAUCGAAACUUUAAAUCAAAAUGGCCGACUUCCUGUGGGGUUUGGGGUAUGGGUCCAAGAGGCUUUUUUGUACAUCCCGGCAUGUUACGCGUGCCUACCAAGUUUCGUACAUAUCGGUGAAACGUGGCGCCGGGGCUGCUGUUUUUUUAUCCUGUAGGGGGCGCUACACACACGACAAACACGAUUUUUGGUAUGUGAGCUUCAGGCACUACUCUACACGUGCCCUGUGAAUUUCAUAUUCAUAACUAUUACGGUCUCCGCACAGUGAUUUAUCCUGCCACCAGAGCGCCACCCAGUGGCCUGAUUUUUUUUCCUUUUUUGGGGAGCCUCAGUGAGCCAUGGGCAAGCAUCCUACCAAGUUUCAUUUUAAUCACACGUGCCGUUGCAGAGAUAUAAACGUCUUCAUUUUAAAGAGCGCCACCUAGUGGUUAUGGUCUGAAAUUGUGCACGGUGCCUAAGGAGGACAUGAGGAACUAUGGACCCAAGUUUGAUGUGAAUCAAACAUACCAAUGUUAAGAAAUGGUCCUCUUUCUUUUUUGACGAAAAAUCUACAGGAAGUCUUAAUUUUACAGCGCGCUUAUUUUUUGAAAUUUCAAAAAGGUUCAAAUUACUUUUUUUGCCAGGGCGGUCCCCAGGUGCUAGGUGAAAAAUUUCGUGGGAAUUGGACAAAGCGUGUAGGAGGACCACGAAAACGUACUUUAAGGACUUUUCGCACUCUAGCGGAAAAAAAUUAUAGGCGGAAGUGGGCGGGGCCUAUAUGGAGAGAUUCAGCUCCAUUCACUGAACGCGUGGAUAUAAGUUUUUUGAAUGUGCGACAAAAUAUGCAGAAGUUAUUAAGUAACCAAAAAGUGAAAAUACUUUCCUAAAUAGUAGCGCCACCUAGUGGCCGACCUGAAAAAGACACAUAGAAUAUCAAAUUUUUCACCAGGCCUGACAACUUUGCCAAAUAAAAUUGAGUUUUCGUAUAUAUUCAGGGGGGGAAAAACGCAGUCGAAGUGGCCUAAAAAUAAUAAUAAUAAUAGGUAAGAAAUCGAGCAAAAACAAUAGGGACCUCCAGCGGUCGCUUGCGAGGUCCCUAAUUAAAGCUGCAAGCAGCGUUGAGCGGGACCUCGCACUCCACCCAACUCGGGGCGUGCUGCGGCCGCGUCGCGGGCCGUCGUAACACGUGGGGACCACAACAUGAAAAUGUCACGUAAAUCAGUUCAAAAUCGCCAAGCAGCGCUUAACUCCUGUUGCCAGAAGGUGGCGCUAUCACUAUGUCUGAAUGUUGUCAUGUAGACAUGUUCAAGGCGAGAGUGUUAUCAAACACGUGAAGUUUCAUUGAGAUUGGACCACGUACGCUGAAGUUAUGAGGACGUGUUCAGGGCAAAACUGUUUCAAAAUAUAUUAAGUUUAUCGGAGAUUGGACAUUGCACACUGAAGUUAUGAGUACUAUUUUAUGGCGAAUAUGCUGAAAUGGACAAGUCGUCACUGGCACGCGGUUUAAUGUACAGUCCCAGCUGAACUUUUCUAUCAGUUUGUAUGACGAAAGAAUUCAAAGUGACCAACUUUGACCUCACGCCACAGACACACCGUUCAACGUACAUGCACAAAUAGCACAACUUUUAAUCAGGACCAUUUUUUGAGUGUACUCACAAAUUUUGAAGCAUAUCCGAUAAAUUCCCUAGGAGGAGUUCGUUCAAAUACAACGCGAAAAGUUUGCCGAAAUCGAAAC